GCCCGUUUAGCUCAGUGGUAGAGCGCGCCACUUGUAUUUGCCGUGAUGGUGAGGUCGGUUGUUCAAUCCAGCCAAUGGGCA